rnacentral:rRNA from 1 species
AGAAUCAACGCUGGCGGCGUGCCUAACACAUGCAAGUCGAACGAGAAAGUGGAGCAAUCCAUGAGUAAAGUGGCGCACGGGUGAGUAACACGUGACUAACCUACCCUUGAGUGGGAAUAACUGAGGGAAACCUUAGCUAAUACCGCAUAAUACCUACGGGUCAAAGGAGCAAUUCGCUUAAGGAGGGGUCGCGGCAGAUUAGCUAGUUGGCGGGGUAAUGGCCCACCAAGGCAGUGAUCUGUA